ensembl:lncRNA
AAGAGGAAGGCAGAGGAGGUCAAAAAGAGAGAGAGAGAGAGAGGAAGAGGAAGGCAGAGGAGGUCAAAGAGAGAGAGAGAGAGGAAGAGGAAGGCAGAGGAGGUCAAAGAGAGAGAGAGAGGAAGAGGAGGUUAGAGAGAGAGAGGAAGAGGAGGUCAGAGAGAGAGAGAGAGGAAGAGAAAUGCGGAGGAGGUCAGAGAGAGAGAGAGAGAGGAGGAAGGAGGUCAAAGAGAGAGAGGAAGGAAGAGGAGGUCAAAGAGAGAGAGGAAGAGGAGGUCAAAGAGAGAGAGAGAGGAAGAGGAGGUCAGAGAGAGAGAGAGAGAGGAAGAGGCGGUCAGAGAGAGAGAGAGAGAGAGGAAGAGGCGGUCAGAGAGAGAGAGAGAGAGAAAGAGGAGGUCAGAGAGAGAGAGAGAGAGGAAGAGGAGGUCAGAGAGAGAGGAAGAGGAGGUCAGAGAGAGAGAGGAAGAGGAGGUCAGAGAGAGAGGAAGAGGAGGUCAGAGAGAGAGAGAGAGAGGAAGAGGAGGUCAGAGAGAGAGAGAGAGGAAGAGGAGGUCAGAGAGAGAGAGAGAGUAAGAGGAGGUCAAAGAGAGAGAGAGAGAGAGAGGAAGAGAAAGGCAGAGGAGGUCAAAGAGAGAGAGAGAGGAAGAGAAAGGCAGGAGGUCAAAGAGAGAGGGAGGAAGAGGAGGUCAAAGAGAGAGAGGAAGAGGAAGGAAGAGGAGGUCAAAGAGAGAGAGAGAGAGGAAGAGAAAGGCAGAGGUCAAAGAGAGAGAGAGAGGAAGAGAAAGGCAGAGGAGGUAAAAGAGAGAGAGAGAGGAAGAGGAGGUCAAAGAGAGAGAGGAAGAGGAAGGAAGAGGAGGUCAAAGAGAGAGAGGAAGAGGAGG